AAAAAAAGACGGCCCGCAAACAUUUCUGGCUGGGUGAUUACACAGCCAGGCUGACAUAGAGGUCCUGAGCCAACUGGUCCUCAAAUUCCUUUCUUGGUCUGGGUCUAUUUUGCAAAAGAAUGAACUUCACUGCCAGUUGGCGUAUUGCCAGUGUGGGACAGCAGAGAGAAACUGAAGGGUGAGAGACGCCAGAAGACGUGCUCUGGCUCCGUCUCCUUGAUAGCAGCGCCUUGACUGGCAGCAGUUGCAUUUCUUAAUGGAGUUCCAGCUCCAGAAGGGUGACCUGGCCCCUGUGCUAGGAUAGUGCUGCCUCUGUGUUUUGUCCCUUGGGCUGAGAUGGAGGCAAUGGUGUUUUGCCAUCAUUGCUAGCCUCUGGAUGGCCUGGCUGUCCUCUUGGGCUUCUCAGUUUUUCAUCUCCUGUGUAACCAUUCCCUUGCAAUAAAGCCAUGCUAUUUUAUUUGUA